rnacentral:piRNA from 1 species
UCUCAAGGACUCAUGCACAGGGACA